UUACUUUCCCUCUGGAGUGCAAACUCUCUUCCCCCUCUAUCCUCCCACCCUGCCUAGUAGCAGUCCACUGGAGCUGCCCUCCAGGUCUCCUGCUUGGUUCUGGCAGCUGCAGUUGUUGGGGGUAACGAAGGGAGACACCAGGCACUAGGGCUUUCCAGCAACUCUAAGGGUUGCACAAUUGAAGGAGAGGGAGAAGGAGCGAGUGAGGAAAGUGCUGCCUUCUAAGCUCAAGAAUCAUACAUAGAACCAGCAGCCAUCCUCCCGCUACCUCAAAUACACACAUGCUGUCUGGGAAAAAUAAUUUUUUACUUUUACCCCUGGACUCAGACCCGGCCUUUUGUUUAAUAAACAGGAUGACUCCACUCAAUUCCAUAAAUCGUUCCUGAUGUCCAGAAUGACAAAGAUGCAUAUCUGAAAUAUAUUAAGCUAACUGACCAAAGCCAAGAGGAAAGAGGGUUUCAGAGAGAACUCAUGAGGACACUUGAUGGCCCAGAACCUGUUAACAUGCAACCAAAGUUAUAUCUAUGCCCUGGAAAAAAAAACAACACCUUUGAUACUUUUCUAAGGUGCCACCCAAUUACUGAGCCAAUACAAGAACAGGGAAAGAACAAAGAAGCCUUGAAUCCCAAGUCCACUAAUUAUACUACUGCUGCCUUAAAAUUAAUCUUCUCCACCUCUCUUAAAAUAUUAAAUGAAAAUGCUUACGUUACCUUCUUAAA